rnacentral:rRNA from 1 species
CAGUAGGCUAACUAAAGCAGACGAUUGGAAGAGUCUGUCUAAGCAGUGAGGUGUGAAUUGAGUCAAAUGCUUAAUUCUAUAACAUUGAGCUGUGAUGGGGAGCGAAGUUUAGUAGCGAAGUUAGUGACGUCACACUGCCAAGAAAAGCUUCUAGCGUUUAAACAUACUCUACCCGUACCGCAAACCGACACAGGUAGUCGAGGCGAGUAGCCUCAGGUGAGCGAGAGAACUCUCGUUAAGGAACUCGGCAAAAUGACCCCGUAACUUCGGGAGAAGGGGUGCUGACUUUAAGUCAGCCGCAGUGAAUAGGCCCAAGCAACUGUUUAUCAAAAACAC